CCGGCCACAUCACGUUAAAACACCCGUUCCCGUAAGAUCACCGAAGUUAAGCAACAUCGAGUCUGCUGAAUACCUAGAUGGGUGAACGCUUGGACGUACCAGGUGCG